rnacentral:rRNA from 1 species
UGGGGAUCGUGUCGCAAUGGGCGAAGACCUGACGCAGCCAUGCCGCGUGGAUGAUGAAGGUCUUAGGAUUGUAAAUACCUUUCACCGGUGAAGCUGUGGCCGGAGAAGAAGCCCCGGCUAACUUCGUGCCAGCAGCCGCGGUAAUACGAAGGGGGCUAGCGUUGCUCGGAAUUACUGGGCGUAAAGGGCGCGUAGGCGGACAUUUAAGUCAGGGGUGAAACCCCAGAGCUCAACUCUGGAACUGCCUUUGAUACUGGAUGUCUUGAGUGUGAGAGAGGUAUGUGGAACUCCGAGUGUAGAGGUGAAAUUCGUAGAUAUUCGGAAGAAC